rnacentral:rRNA from 1 species
CCCCUAGAUGUUCUGGGCCGCACGCGCGCUACACUGAACAGUUCAACAAGUCUUAACCUUGGCCGAUAGGUCUGGGUAAUCUUUGAACGCUGUUCGUGAUUGGGAUAGAUUAUUGCAAUUAUUAAUCUUCAACGAGGAAUGCCUAGUAAGCGCAAGUCAUCAGCUUGCGUUGAUUACGUCCCUGCCCUUUGUACACACCGCCCGUCGCUCCUACCGAUUGAAUGGUCCGGUGAAGCGUUCGGACCGUGGCCUUUGGACGGUUCGCCGUCUGUUGGCUGCGGGAAGUUCGUUAAACCUUAUCAUUUAGAGGAAGGAGAAGUCGUAACA